GCAGUCGAACGAACUCUGGUAUUGAUUGGUGCUUGCAUCAUGAUUUACAUUUGAGUGAGUGGCGAACUGGUGAGUAACACGUGGGAAACCUGCCCAGAAGCGGGGGAUAACACCUGGAAACAGAUGCUAAUACCGCAUAACAACUUGGACCGCAUGGUCCGAGUUUGAAAGAUGGCUUCGGCUAUCACUUUUGGAUGGUCCCGCGGCGUAUUAGCUAGAUGGUGAGGUAACGGCUCACCAUGGCAAUGAUACGUAGCCGACCUGAGAGGGUAAUCGGCCACAUUGGGACUGAGACACGGCCCAAACUCCUACGGGAGGCAGCAGUAGGGAAUCUUCCACAAUGGACGAAAGUCUGAUGGAGCAACGCCGCGUGAGUGAAGAAGGGUUUCGGCUCGUAAAACUCUGUUGUUAAAGAAGAACAUAUCUGAGAGUAACUGUUCAGGUAUUGACGGUAUUUAACCAGAAAGCCACGGCUAACUACGUGCCAGCAGCCGCGGUAAUACGUAGGUGGCAAGCGUUGUCCGGAUUUAUUGGGCGUAAAGCGAGCGCAGGCGGUUUUUUAAGUCUGAUGUGAAAGCCUUCGGCUCAACCGAAGAAGUGCAUCGGAAACUGGGAAACUUGAGUGCAGAAGAGGACAGUGGAACUCCAUGUGUAGCGGUGAAAUGCGUAGAUAUAUGGAAGAACACCAGUGGCGAAGGCGGCUGUCUGGUCUGUAACUGACGCUGAGGCUCGAAAGUAUGGGUAGCAAACAGGAUUAGAUACCCUGGUAGUCCAUACCGUAAACGAUGAAUGCUAAGUGUUGGAGGGUUUCCGCCCUUCAGUGCUGCAGCUAACGCAUUAAGCAUUCCGCCUGGGGAGUACGGCCGCAAGGCUGAAACUCAAAGGAAUUGACGGGGGCCCGCACAAGCGGUGGAGCAUGUGGUUUAAUUCGAAGCUACGCGAAGAACCUUACCAGGUCUUGACAUACUAUGCAAAUCUAAGAGAUUAGACGUUCCCUUCGGGGACAUGGAUACAGGUGGUGCAUGGUUGUCGUCAGCUCGUGUCGUGAGAUGUUGGGUUAAGUCCCGCAACGAGCGCAACCCUUAUUAUCAGUUGCCAGCAUUAAGUUGGGCACUCUGGUGAGACUGCCGGUGACAAACCGGAGGAAGGUGGGGAUGACGUCAAAUCAUCAUGCCCCUUAUGACCUGGGCUACACACGUGCUACAAUGGAUGGUACAACGAGUUGCGAACUCGCGAGAGUAAGCUAAUCUCUUAAAGCCAUUCUCAGUUCGGAUUGUAGGCUGCAACUCGCCUACAUGAAGUCGGAAUCGCUAGUAAUCGCGGAUCAGCAUGCCGCGGUGAAUACGUUCCCGGGCCUUGUACACACCGCCCGUCACACCAUGAGAGUUUGUAACACCCAAAGUCGGUGGGGUAACCUUUUAGAACCAGC
rnacentral:rRNA from 2 species